AUUUAUGAUAGUGAGCUCGGGCUCGAGGCGACAACCAGUCGCCGAACGUAGCCGCGGUCAAGGGAUGAACGCUUUGUCUAACAAAGAUGAUUGCCAGAUGUUAACGCAUCUCCACAGUAUAUGUUUAGCUAGCCUGAGGACCCGUUAUAAAUCUCAAGAUUUAGUUAACUAAAGUCCUUCAAACAGACAAAUAGUCUUUGUCCCAUCUACGGGAAAAUAUGAGAAACCUAUUUUUUCACGAACGACGCUUCCCGCUAGCAACUUUCUCUUAAGGGCGGCUAGCACCCUUCCCUAACCACCAACAUGGAAAUUGACCAAUUAACAGUAACGUCAAUUUCCCUCACUUUUCGAAUGAAGACUUUU
rnacentral:misc_RNA from 1 species